AAAGAGGAGGAGGAAAAGAAACGGUGGUAUAUGAAGAUCCCUAAGAUGUUUGGGAAUUGCUUAAGGGCGUUCUGCAUCUUGGCCAGCGUGAUGGGCGAAAAGGCAGUGGAGCGCUGUUCACAGCUUUUUUGUUACCUGGAUGGAAUUUGGGAGCCGUAUCGCACGUACAGGGGUCUGGCAUGGUGGUGAUAUGACAAGCAGUUUCGUCAGCGCCUGACUGCUAAUCCGGGGAUGCGGUGGGACCAGAUGCACCUACCACUCUGGAUAAAACUUAUGAUGGUGCAGAAGGCGUCUCCC